CCCAGGUAAGUUGUCAAACUGUUCUUAAACAUAAUGUAGUGGUUAUUGUGCCUGGAUUGUUUCUUUAAAUAAUCUACCAGUGCCACUCCCAAGAUCAGGGACCCAGUAUAUGCCACAGCGUUGUACAUAUAAACAUUGUAGAAAAUAGUUUUUACUUGGGGCACCUUGAAUCUAAAAAGUUUGGAAACCACUGACUUAGACCAAGCUUGCAUCUUCGCAAAAAGGGUGAUUGAUGGAAGUGAGAAUUAUUUAGAAUUCAAAGUGGAUUUCCCAAUUUAAUCCAGGAUAACCAAAAUGUAAUUACAGCUGGAUUUUCCAAUUCAACUGCUUGGCCAUAAUAUUUGAAAUUUGUUUUUAUUCCAAAUUUUAGCUUUAUUGAAUGUCCCUUACAUUGUUCAUUCUAAUAUCUUGCACUGAGCUCAGAUCUCUGUAAAUCCAGGAUGUUUGUAGCAACACAGACUCGAAUCUCUCAUGAAUGUUUCCAAAACCUUGUAAAAAGACAUGACUAUAGGGAAUCCACGGCCAUCUUAUGAUAUAAUCAUAAUUUGUGUCCCAGAAAUUGGGUCAUUAACAGGUUAUUCACUAAAAU